AAUACUUAAUUUAUGAAUUUCAGUACUCAGUGGAAAAUAAUCUCAAAAUUAAAUAGCACAACAUGGUGUCAACGUAAAACACAGUGCUUUCAAGCCGGAGAGCGGAGUUCACUUUGCGGC